UACGGGGGGGGCAAGCGUUGUUCGGAAUUACUGGGCGUAAAGGGCUCGUAGGCGGCCAACUAAGUCAGACGUGAAAUCCCUCGGCUUAACCGGGGAACUGCGUCUGAUACUGGAUGGCUAGAGGUUGGGAGAGGGAUGCGGAAUUCCCGGUGUAGUGGUGGAAUGCGUAGAUAUCGGGAGGAACACCAGUGGCGAAGGCGGCUUCCUGGACCUGUUCUGACACUGAGGAGCGAAAGCGUGGGGAGCGAUCCGG
rnacentral:rRNA from 1 species